rnacentral:rRNA from 1 species
ACGCUGGCGGCGUGCCUAAUACAUGCAAGUAGAACGCUGAAGGAGGAGCUUGCUUCUCUGGAUGAGUUGCGAACGGGUGAGUAACGCGUAGGUAACCUGCCUGGUAGCGGGGGAUAACUAUUGGAAACGAUAGCUAAUACCGCAUAAUAGUAGAUGUUGCAUGACAUUUGCUUAAAAGGUGCAAUUGCAUCACUACCAGAUGGACCUGCGUUGUAUUAGCUAGUUGGUGGGGUAACGGCUCACCAAGGCGACGAUACAUAGCCGACCUGAGAGGGUGAUCGGCCACACUGGGACUGAGACACGGCCCAGACUCCUACGGGAGGCAGCAGUAGGGAAUCUUCGGCAAUGGACGGAAGUCUGACCGAGCAACGCCGCGUGAGUGAAGAAGGUUUUCGGAUCGUAAAGCUCUGUUGUAAGAGAAGAACGAGUGUGAGAGUGGAAAGUUCACGCUGUGACGGUAUCUUACCAGAAAGGGACGGCUAACUACGUGCCAGCAGCCGCGGUAAUACGUAGGUCCCGAGCGUUGUCCGGAUUUAUUGGGCGUAAAGCGAGCGCAGGCGGUUAGAUAAGUCUGAAGUUAAAGGCUGUGGCUUAACCAUAGUACGCUUUGGAAACUGUUCAACUUGAGUGCAAGAGGGGAGAGUGGAAUUCCAUGUGUAGCGGUGAAAUGCGUAGAUAUAUGGAGGAACACCGGUGGCGAAAGCGGCUCUCUGGCUUGUAACUGACGCUGAGGCUCGAAAGCGUGGGGAGCAAACAGGAUUAGAUACCCUGGUAGUCCACGCCGUAAACGAUGAGUGCUAGGUGUAGACCCUUUCCGGGGUUUAGUGCCGUAGCUAACGCAUUAAGCACUCCGCCUGGGGAGUACGACCGCAAGGUUGAAACUCAAAGGAAUUGACGGGGGCCCGCACAAGCGG